GGUGCAGAGGGAAAGGAGGAAGUGGAGAGAUCCUUGGGGCCAGUUCCUGUUGGAUCAGCAGGGAGCUGAGACGAACAAGCAUGUUCAGCACAAGAAGUACCAGGCACUGAAAGUGAAGCCGGACUGUCUGGCUAAAAUCGACCAGUAGUGAAGACAGAAGAGUGAUUGUCGAACUACGAGGAAAAAUAUCAGAUGACCUCCAGUUAGAGCUUCCUACCAAACACUGACCAGGAUGCCUCAAAGGAAGGCCACUGGAAACCAGGAACCCCAGAGAAGCAAUGCCAGCCAAGAGAAACCUGAGGA